rnacentral:tRNA from 1 species
GGAGCUGUGGCUCAAGGGUAAGGCAUCUGCUUGGCAUGCAGAAGGCCCCAGGUUCGAUCCUUGGCAUCUCCA